GAUGAAGAACGCAGCGAAAUGCGAUAAGUAAUGCGAAUUGCAGAAUUCCAGUGAGUCAUCGAAUCUUUGAACGCACAUUGCGCCCUUUGGUAUUCCGAAGGGCAUGCCUGUUCGAGCGUCAUUAUCACCCCUCAAGCCCUCGGCUUGGUGUUGGACGGUUUGGUGGAGGCCCCCUCGGGGGCUCCUGCCCCUCCCAAAGACAAUGACGGCAGCCUCGUUGGACCCCCGGUACACUGAGUUCUUCACGGGACACGUAUCGGACACAUGGGUUUACGGGACACGGUCUGCCUCCCCUCAGGGAGAAUCUUUCUAAGGUUGACCUCGGAUCAGGUAGGGAUACCCGCUGAACUUAAGCAUAUCAAUAAGCGGAGGA
rnacentral:misc_RNA from 1 species